CUACGGGAGGCAGCAGUGGGGAAUCUUGGACAAUGGGCGAAAGCCUGAUCCAGCGACGCCGCGUGGGGGACGAAGCCCUUCGGGGUGUAAACCCCUGUUGCGAGGGAGGAAUAAGACCUGGAGGAAAUGCCAGGUCGAUGACUGUACCUCGCGAGAAAGCCCCGGCUAACUACGUGCCAGCAGCCGCGGUAAUACGUAGGGGGCGAGCGUUACCCGGAUUCACUGGGCGUAAAGGGGGUGUAGGCGGCUCGGCAAGUCGGGUGUGAAAUCCCACGGCUCAACCGUGGAAUUGCGCCCGAAACUGCCGAGCUUGGGGCCGGUAGAGGGAGACGGAACUGCCGGUGUAGGGGUGAAAUCCGUAGAUAUCGGCAGGAACGCCGGUGGGGAAGCCGGUCUCCUGGGCCGCGCCCGACGCUGAGGCCCGAAAGCUAGGGGAGCAAACCGGAUUAGAUACCCGGGUAGUCCUAGCCGUAAACGAUGCCCACUAGGUGUGGGGGAGUCAUUCCUCCGUGCUGUAGCUAACGCGUUAAGUGGGCCGCCUGGGGAGUACGCCCGCAAGGGUGAAACUCAAAGGAAUUGGCGGGACCCCGCACAAGCGGUGGAGCGCGUGGUUUAAUUGGAUGCUGAGCCAAGAACCUUACCAGGGCUUGACAUGCAGGUGGUACCGACCCGAAAGGGGAGGGACCCCAUCCUUUUGGGUGGGGAGCCUGCACAGGUGGUGCACGGCCGUCGUCAGCUCGUGCCGUGAGGUGUUGGGUUAAGUCCCGCAACGAGCGCAACCCCUGCCCUUAGUUGCCAUCGGUUCGGCCGGGCACUCUAAGGGGACUGCCGGCGACGAGCCGGAGGAAGGAGGGGACGACGUCAGGUACUCGUGCCCCUUAUGCCCUGGGCUACACACGCGCUACAAUGGGUGGUACAGUGGGUUGCGACCCCGCGAGGGGGAGCCAAUCCCUAAAACCACCCCCAGUUCGGAUCGCAGGCUGCAACCCGCCUGCGUGAAGCCGGAAUCGCUAGUAAUCGCGGAUCAGCCACGCCGCGGUGAAUACGUUCCCGGGGUUUGCACACACCGCCCGU
rnacentral:rRNA from 1 species